UCCCAUUCUGUAAGAGCACAUCUGCAACUCAUGUUGGGAUUUCCUCCACUGUGUUAAAAUGGCGACCAUUCAGCCACACAGGUGGACAAAUCCACCAGGACCAACCCCAUGAAUGUCAAACAAAUAGACAAGCAUGCUCAUGGUCAUUCUCCUGAUUUGGAAACUCAUGUCAGAGGUAUUAUUCUAGGUGUGGUAGUAGCAGUCCUUGUGGUUUUAUUGUCAGCAGCCCUGGCACUGUACUACAAAUAUAAAAGGAGAGGAGCAGAACCACACGUGACAGCGACCUACUCUCAGAAACGUGACUCAGUGAUGAACCCCUGACAAACCUCCUACAAGAUGUCCAACAACCAGAUGCUCUGGUGAAAUCAAGGUCACACAGCACUGCUCUGAAGUGUGACUGCAUUAAAACAAUCCACAAAGACAAACAUACCAAACCUAACAAAACUCUGCCUCAUGCUCCAUGACACCUCAGCUGCUGCUGGAAUCUGACAAUGUCACAGAUGUGCAACUCUAAAUCUGUGGAGUGCUCCUAUAAGAACUCCCUCUAGUCUCUCAGAGAGACUCAGAGACAGUUUAACACUGUAGAAUGUCAACUAGACAGACCAUCCAGUUACGGAGAAACAAUGUUUG